rnacentral:rRNA from 1 species
GACGAACGCUGGCGGCGUGCUUAACACAUGCAAGUCGAACGGAAAGGCCCUGCUUUUGUGGGGUGCUCGAGUGGCGAACGGGUGAUUAACACGUGAGUAACCUGCCCUUGACUUUGGGAUAACUUCAGGAAACUGGGGCUAAUACCGGAUAGGAGCUCCUGCUGCAUGGUGGGGGUUGGAAAGUUUCGGCGGUUGGGGAUGGACUCGCGGCUUAUCAGCUUGUUGGUGGGGUAGUGGCUUACCAAGGCUUUGACGGGUAGCCGGCCUGAGAGGGUGACCGGCCACAUUGGGACUGAGAUACGGCCCAGACUCCUACGGGAGGCAGCAGUGGGGAAUAUUGCACAAUGGGCGGAAGCCUGAUGCAGCAACGCCGCGUGCGGGAUGACGGCCUUCGGGUUGUAAACCGCUUUUGCCUGUGACGAAGCGUGAGUGACGGUAAUGGGUAAAGAAGCACCGGCUAACUACGUG